GACGAACGCUGGCGGCGUGCUUAACACAUGCAAGUCGAACGGAAAGGCCCUGCUCUUGUGGGUUGCUCGAUUGGCGAACGGGUGAGUAACACGUGAGUAACCUGCCCUUGACUUUGGGAUAACUUCAGGAAACUGGGGCUCAUACCCGAUAGGAGCUCCUGCUGCAUGGUGGGGGUUGGAAAGUUUCGGCGGUUCGGGAUGGACUCGCGGCUUAUCCGCUUGUUGGUGGGGUAGUGGAUUUCCAAGGCUUUGACGGGUAGCCGGCCUGAGAGGGUGACCGGCCACAUGGGGACUGAGAUACGGCCCAGACUGCUACGGGAGGCAGCAGUGGGGAAUAUUGCAGAAUGGGCGGAAGCCUGAUGCAGCAACGCCGCGUGCGGGAUGACGGCCUUCGGGUUGUAAACCGCUGUCGCCGGAGACGAGGAGUGAGUGACGGUAAUGGGUAAAGAAGCACCGGCUAACUACGUG
rnacentral:rRNA from 1 species